rnacentral:rRNA from 1 species
AACCCUACGGGAGGCAGCAGUGAGGAAUAUUGGUCAAUGGUCGGGAGACUGAACCAGCCAAGCCGCGUGAGGGAUGAAGGUACAGAGUAUCGUAAACCUCUUUUGUCAGGGGACAAAGGCGGGGACGUGUCCCCGGAUGAGUGUACCUGAAGAAAAAGCAUCGGCUAACUCCGUGCCAGCAGCCGCGGUAAUACGGAGGAUGCGAGCGUUAUCCGGAUUUAUUGGGUUUAAAGGGUGCGCAGGCGGUCUUUUAAGUCAGCGGUCAAAGCCCGGGGCUCAACCCCCGCCCGCCGGUGAAACGGGCC